rnacentral:rRNA from 1 species
UAAGACGAAGGAUCCAAGCGUUGUCCGGAUUUACUGGGUUUAAAGGGUGCGUAGGCGGAAAUUUAAGUCAGUGGUGAAAGCCUCCCGCUUAACGGGAGAACUGCCAUUGAAACUGGACUUCUUGAAUAUGGUUGAGGUAGAUGGAAUAUAACAUGUAGCGGUGAAAUGCUUAGAUAUGUUAUAGAACACCGAUUGCGAAGGCAGUCUGCUAAGCCAUAAUUGACGCUGAGGCACGAAAGCAUGGGGAGCAAACAGG